rnacentral:lncRNA from 1 species
UCCAUGGUUCCACCAUGGUUCCAGAAUGUGUUGUCAUUUGCUAAGGUAGGCUGGAUUUGUUCCUGGUCUUGGCGAGGGUUUUAGAGCUCAGCACACCAGGCAAUCAAGGAAUUCUGGGACUGCUGGGGAAGGAUGAAAAAAUGGAACGUUAGCUGGGCUUCAAAGAUAAGGAAAGAAUAUGAGCAUUAAAAGGGAAGUAGAAAGGCAAUCCAGGUAGGGGAAAGUGCUUAGUAAGAACACAGUUCUAUACUAGACAGUACCUGGUGAAUUAUAAGAAAUGAUGGGUAAUGGCAGGAUUCAAGUAGUGAAGAUCCCUUAGUCCAGAGUUGAAGGGAUGCCCUACCAGAAAAUAUGGAGAAAUGAAAGGGCACUGUUUGGAGUCUAACACAUGCACAUGGGAGCGACUCCAGUUGGUUUCUCUCUCUCCCUAAAUUAAUAAAUGUAGAUGUAUUGAAUGGCUAAGGAUAAUAACGGUUUCACAGUUUGGGAAGUAAAUGAGAAUAUGUAUGUGUCUCCCAGGCUCCAAUGGGUACCUAACCAAUAUUAACUUCCUUUCCAUUCCCCAGUCAUCAAAAUCCAUCCUAGAAAUACUAUUCUCCAAGAAAAUGGCAGUUGCAACAGAUGCAAUGCAAAUGUACAAUGGAUGGGAAUGUUUCUAAAUGAAAUCACUUUAACAACUCAAGCAUUUCCCCGGCUUCUGUUCUGGAAUGCACAUAGGUACUAUUUUUGCAUUGUGGGCUAAAUGCCUUAAAAUGAAUUUCACUGUUAAGGAAACAAUUAUCCCUUGCACUUGAUGGCAAAUUCUCCCUUUCAUAAAGACCACCAAAUUUAUGGGGGAGAAGGGGAGAACAAAAUGAAGUAGGGAGUUACGUUUGCACUUAGAGUAAGGUUAUUUUGUGUGUCAGGCCAUUUUGGUAGAUAAUGUUAGAUGGUGACAUGGUCGCUUAGCAACCCUGUCAUGGACGAACUCAGGAUUCCUGUUUUACUGGGAAAUCAUAAGGAGCAAUACCUAGG